rnacentral:rRNA from 1 species
UACGAAGGGAGCUAGCGUUGUUCGGAAUUACUGGGCGUAAAGGGUGCGUAGGCGGUUUAACAAGUCAGGUGUGAAAGCCCCGAGCUCAACUCGGGAACUGCGCUUGAGACUGUUAGGCUUGAAUUCGGAAGAGGUGAGUGGAAUUCCCAGUGUAGAGGUGAAAUUCGUAGAUAUUGGGAAGAACACCGGUGGCGAAGGCGGCUCACUGGUCCGACAUUGACGCUGAGGCACGAAAGCGUGGGGAGCAAACAGG